rnacentral:tRNA from 1 species
UGUUCUGUGGCUUAGUUGGUUAAAGUGCCGGACUAGCGAUGCGGAGUAGUGGGUUUGAAUUCAUCAAAGCAA